rnacentral:rRNA from 1 species
CAAWUCACGAAAGUGUUGAUGGGGGGAUCCUGCGUGCUCAUGUUWCGCAUGGGCUUUUGCCAAGAUUAAACCUCUUGGCGAAUAAGGGGUGGGCAAGACCGGUGCCAGCCGCCGCGGUAACACCGGCGCCCCAAGUGGCAAUCGCGUUUAUUGGGCCUAAAGCGUCCGUAGCCGGACAGAYAAAUCCGCUGUGAAAUGGUUGCGCUCAACGCAACCGCGUGCAGUGGACACUGUCUGUCUCGAGACCGGGAGGAGCAAGAGGUAUGCCGUGGGGACUGGUAAAAUGGUAUAAUCCACAGUAGACCACCAAUGGCGAAGGCAUCUUGCCAGAACGGAUCUGACGGUGAGGGACGAAAGCCAGGGGAGCGAACCGGAUUAGAUWCCCGAGUAGUCCUGGCCGUAAACGCUGUGCCCUAGGUGUUGCCCAUCCUACGASGAUGGACAGUGYCCAAACGAAAGWGCUAAGCUCACCAUCUGGGAAUUACGGUCGCAAGAUUGAAACUUUUUUGAAUU